rnacentral:rRNA from 1 species
GGAUGGACUCGCGGCCUAUCAGCUAGUUGGUGAGGUAACGGCUCACCAAGGCGUUGACGGGUAGCCGGCCUGAGAGGGUGACCGGCCACACUGGGACCGAGACACGGCCCAGACUCCUACGGGAGGCAGCAGUGGGGAAUUUUGCACAAUGGGCGCAAGCCUGAUGCAGCAACGCCGCGUGGGGGACGAAGGCCUUCGGGUUGUAAACCUCUUUUAGUAGGGAAGAAGCGAAAGUGACGGUACCUGCAGAAAAAGCACCGGCUAACUACGUGCCAGCAGCCGCGGUAAUACGUAGGGUGCGAGCGUUGCCCGGAAUUAUUGGGCGUAAAGAGCUCGUAGGCGGUUUGUCACGUCUGCUGUGAAAACCCGAGGCUCAACCUCGGGCCUGCAGUGGGUACGGGCAGACUAGAGUGCGGUAGGGGAGAACGGAAUUCCUGGUGUAGCGGUGGAAUGCGCAGAUAUCAGGAGGAACACCGAUGGCGAAGGCAGUUCUCUGGGCCGUAACUGACGCUGAGGAGCGAAAGCGUGGGGAGCGAACAGGAUUAGAUACCCUGGUAGUCCACGCCGUAAACGUUGGGCGCUAGAUGUGGGGACCAUUCCACGGUUUCCGCGUCGUAGCUAACGCAUUAAGCGCCCCGCCUGGGGAGUACGGCCGCAAGGCUAAAACUCAAAGGAAUUGACGGGGGCCCGCACAAGCGGCGGAGCAUGCGGAUUAAUUCGAUGCAACGCGAAGAACCUUACCAAGGCUUGUCAUAUGCGAGAACGCUCUAGAAAUAGAGAACUCUUUGGACACUCGUAUACAGGUGGUGCAUGGUUGUCGUCAGCUCGUGUCGUGAGAUGUUGGGUUAAGUCCCGCAACGAGCGCAACCCUCGUCGCAUGUUGCCAGCACGUAAUGGUGGGAACUCAUGUGAGACUGCCGGGGUCAACUCGGAGGAAGGUGGGGAUGACGUCAAAUCAUCAUGCCCCUUAUGUCUUGGGCUUCACGCAUGCUACAAUGGCCGGUACAAAGGGCUGCGAAACCGCAAGGUGGAGCGAAUCCCAAAAAGCCGGUCUCAGUUCGGAUUGAGGUCUGCAACUCGACCUCAUGAAGUCGGAGUCGCUAGUAAUCGCAGAUCAGCAACGCUGCGGUGAAUA